AAAAUCAGUGGGCGUAUAGAUGUAGAUUGUGUAU
rnacentral:guide_RNA from 1 species